CUUCCAGCAAGUUCUGAGGAGAGAGUGGGCAUGGGGUGGGUGGGGCUUAGCUAGACUUUCCAUGUUCAUGCUCAAGAAACAGAGCGUGUUUGCAGAUAUGCACGGAGAAACACGGCAGAAAGUAACCUUCGGCACAUGUGUCCGAGCAGCCCCACUUCUAUCAUGAACUUCUGCCUCUCACCGCCCCGGGAUGGAGCCCCAGGAGCUGAAUGGGGCUGGUGUCCAGUGCCCAUCUCUCCUCCCGUGGCCCCGCUGGGUAUUCCUGGGCACCCCCCACCCUGUCCCAGUAGCUAUGGGUCCGGGGGCCACAGCCAUCCAUUCAGAGAGGGUCCAGGGGCUUCCUCUCUGAGGGUCCAUGGGGGGGUUGCCACUCCCUGCCUCCACCCCAGGCACUGGCAGGAAGGGGCUGGACACCAGCAUUCUGGGGGGCCCUGGACCCUGCUGGGGUGUGGUCUCCACACUGGCUCCUGGAGCAAGGUGCCAGCUCUCUCCUCACCGGGGAACAGGGCGGACCUGCUCUGCUCACCUGGGAAAUGCGGGAGAUUGGGCCACCACUGGCUGCGCGGCACAUUCAGAGCCCUAACAAAGCUGGCGACAAUCGACCGGGCCUGCCAUUAUCCAUUCAGUGGGUGUAAUAAAUGAGCCGGGCCCAGCCUGCCAUAUACCACCCGGCCCAGAUAACGGCUGAAA